CACCCCUGGCAAUGGGCAAAGAGACCCCUUGGUCUUGGUGUUGUCCUUAUAUCAGUCAGGAGCAGAGUAUACAGCAUCCUUUGUUCAUGCCAGCCUGGUGCCUGGCUUGGUGGCCAAAGAUGGUUUAUGCCUAGGACUCAGAA
rnacentral:snoRNA from 1 species